rnacentral:tRNA from 1 species
GGGCGUUUAGCUCAGUUGGUUAGAGCGCCGUGCUCACACCGCGGAGGUCACUGAUUCGAGUUCAGUAACGCCCA